UAGCCAUGGUGGGGACAAAGAUUCAAGAGUUCUUUAAACCUUUCCCAGACAUGAUAGAGAGUUUCAUUAACAUUUUGGGAAAAGGUAGAAAUAUGUCUUUUUAAGCCA